rnacentral:tRNA from 1 species
GCGCAAUUAGCUCAGCUGGAUAGAGCGCUGCCCUCCGGAGGCAGAGGUCAUAGGUUCGAAUCCUAUAUUGCGCGCCA